rnacentral:rRNA from 1 species
UACGAAGGGGGCUAGCGUUGUUCGGAAUUACUGGGCGUAAAGCGCACGUAGGCGGAUUUGUAAGUCAGGGGUGAAAUCCCGGGGCUCAACCUCGGAACUGCCUUUGAUACUGCAAGUCUCGAGACCGGAAGAGGUGAGUGGAAUUCCUAGUGUAGAGGUGAAAUUCGUAGAUAUUAGGAAGAACACCAGUGGCGAAGGCGGCUCACUGGUCAGGUACUGACGCUGAGGUGCGAAAGCGUGGGGAGCAAACAGG